AGUGAACGCUGGCGGUAGGCCUAACACAUGCAAGUCGAACGGCAGCACAGAGGAGCUUGCUCCUUGGGUGGCGAGUGGCGGACGGGUGAGGAAUACAUCGGAAUCUACUCUGUCGUGGGGGAUAACGUAGGGAAACUUACGCUAAUACCGCAUACGACCUACGGGUGAAAGCAGGGGACCUUCGGGCCUUGCGCGAUUGCAUGAGCCGAUGUCGGAUUAGCUAGUUGGCGGGGUAAAGGACAACCAAGGCGACGAUCUGUAGCUGGUCUGAGAGGAUGAUCAGCCACACUGGAACUGAGACACGGUCCAGACUCCUACGGGAGGCAGCAGUGGGGAAUAUUGGACAAUGGGCGCAAGCCUGAUCCAGCCAUACCGCGUGGGUGAAGAAGGCCUUCGGGUUGUAAAGCCCUUUUGUUGGGAAAGAAAUCCAGCUGGCUAAUACCCGGUUGGGAUGACGGUACCCAGAGAAUAAGCACCGGCUAACUUCGUGCCAGCCGCCGCCGUAA
rnacentral:rRNA from 1 species